AAUUUCUAAGCAUCUGCCUCAAAAAUGUUUCAAAAAGUAAAAUCAAGGUUUUGUCAAACUAAAUGACUAAUAACAAAAUCCAUUACUAGACCAAAAAAUACUUUCCUAAAGUAAGCUCAAGGGAUGCAUAGAGAACUAGAUUGUUUUUCUUCUAAUCAAAUAGACUGAAGCCCAUAUCUUCAUCUUCUGAUGCCUCUUUCUCUUCCUUCUUUUCUUCCUUCUUCUCCUCA
rnacentral:misc_RNA from 1 species